rnacentral:rRNA from 1 species
AGAGUUUGAUCAUGGCUCAGAACGAACGCUGGCGGCAUGCCUAACACAUGCAAGUCGAACGAGACCUUCGGGUCUAGUGGCGCACGGGUGCGUAACGCGUGGGAACCUGCCCCUUGGUUCGGAAUAACAGUUAGAAAUGACUGCUAAUACCGGAUGAUGACUUCGGUCCAAAGAUUUAUCGCCGAGGGAUGGGCCCGCGUAGGAUUAGCUAGUUGGUGGGGUAAUGGCCUACCAAGGCGACGAUCCUUAGCUGGUCUGAGAGGAUGAUCAGCCACACUGGGACUGAGACACGGCCCAGACUCCUACGGGAGGCAGCAGUGGGAAUAUUGGACAAUGGGCGAAAGCCUGAUCCAGCAAUGCCGCGUGAGUGAUGAAGGCCUUAGGGUUGUAAAGCUCUUUACCCGGGAUGAUAAUGACAGUACCGGGAGAAUAAGCUCCGGCUAACUCCGUG